rnacentral:rRNA from 1 species
UACGAAGGGGGCUAGCGUUGCUCGGAUUUACUGGGCGUAAAGGGCGCGUAGGCGGCAAUUCAAGUCAUCUGUGAAAUCUCCGGGCUUAACUCGGAAUGGUCAGGUGAUACUGCUUUGCUAGAGUGCAGAAGGGGCAAUCGGAAUUCUUGGUGUAGCGGUGAAAUGCGUAGAUAUCAAGAGGAACACCUGAGGUGAAGACGGGUUGCUGGGCUGACACUGACGCUGAGGCGCGAAAGCUAGGGGAGCAAACGGG